UAAUAAUAAAUUAAACACAGGCCUCGAUAUAAUUAUAUAGUAUAGUAAUUCCCGGAAAUUCUUAAAUUUUCUCAUAAAUAGCCGUACAAGAAUAUUCAAGUUAAAGUUUAGUGAGUUUCGCAUAUUCAUAUGUAAAUAUAUCAUACAACAUAUUCUAACAUAUAUGAACGCAAAAAUGUGAUUGUAUACAAUUAAAAAAUAAGAAUUGGAAAAAUCAACUGCUUUCGAUAUAGAAGGUGUAACUAUACUUAAUUUUCGGCAAAUAUUGCAACCAGGCCAAAUAUUGGUGUAUUUCAAAUAUAGGAGCUUACCCACUACAUAUAAAUGCAAUCAAGCAUACACAAAAGCAUGGAAUUUCUCAAUGAAAUGCCAGUUAUGGUUAUAAGGCUUAAGCACAUUAUUUACAUGGCUUUGGUAAAAGAUAAAUCGCCGACAACUGCACAUAGAAUUCGAACAUUAUUGUGAAACAAAUUUUACAGCGACAAACCCAACUGAUGACGUUUAAUCAAAUGAUAAAGGAUUAUUUAUUUAUGGCGCAAAAUUCGGAGAUUUAGUUCUUCUAUAUUCUGCUGAAGCCAGCGCCGUAAUGAGUGAUGAGGAGGUUGAACAUGUGUACGUGGAUACGAUAUUUGAACUUAUAUUAGUUUCAUUUUUUUGGUAAACGUAUAGUUUAGGUCCCCC